rnacentral:tRNA from 1 species
AUUUAAAUAGCUUAUAUUUAGAGCGUGGCACUGAAGAUGCUAAAGAGAUUUUAGGAUCUUUAAAUA